rnacentral:rRNA from 1 species
CCGCGUGAGGGAUGACGGCCUUCGGGUUGUAAACCUCUUUCAGUAGGGAAGAAGCGAGAGUGACGGUACCUGCAGAAGAAGCGCCGGCUAACUACGUGCCAGCAGCCGCGGUAAUACGUAGGGCGCAAGCGUUAUCCGGAUUUAUUGGGCGUAAAGAGCUCGUAGGCGGUUUGUCGCGUCUGCCGUGAAAGUCCGAGGCUCAACCUCGGAUCUGCGGUGGGUACGGGCAGACUAGAGUGAUGUAGGGGAGACUGGAAUUCCUGGUGUAGCGGUGAAAUGCGCAGAUAUCAGGAGGAACACCGAUGGCGAAGGCAGGUCUCUGGGCAUUUACUGACGCUGAGGAGCGAAAGCAUGGGGAGCGAACAGGAUUAGAUACCCUGGUAGUCCAUGCCGUAAACGUUGGGCACUAGGUGUGGGGGACAUUCCACGUUUUCCGCGCCGUAGCUAACGCAUUAAGUGCCCCGCCUGGGGAGUACGGCCGCAAGGCUAAAACUCAAAGGAAUUGACGGGGGCCCGCACAAGCGGCGGAGCAUGCGGAUUAAUUCGAUGCAACGCGAAGAACCUUACCAAGGCUUGACA